AUGCAGCCUUCAUUGUGCAACACAGGGUGGACAACAUGAUCUGGGAGAAGAGAAGCGACGAUUCUGAAAGGAAUUCUGGAAAUCCAAGGCUGCUUGUGUGAAAAGAGUUGCAGAAUUGAAGAAAGGGUUUCAUAAUGCAAAAGCUGCUUCCUAAUGGGAAAAUCAGAGUUAGAGCUUGGAGCAGACAUUGAAAUAUUUACAGGUCAUAAAGAUUAGAGAAAUUGUUGGCUUGAAGUUAAAAAGGAGAAG